AGCGGUUCGGCCGGGCACUCACGCGAGACAGCCGGGGACGACCCGGAGGAAGGUGGGGAUGACGUCAAAUCCGCAUGGCCUUUAUGUCCUGGGCUACACACGUGCUACAAUGGCCGCGACAAUGGGUCGCUACGACGCGAGUCGAUGCUAACCCCCAAACGCGGUCUCAGUUCGGAUUGCAGGCUGCAACCCGCCUGCAUGAAGCCGGAAUUGCUAGUAAUCGCGGAUCAGCAUGCCGCGGUGAAUCCGUUCCCGGGCCUUGUACACACCGCCCGUCACACCACGAGAGUUGGCCACACCCGAAGCCGGGCCCGCGAACCUUUCGAGGACGCGGCCGUCGACGGUGGGGUUGGUAAUUGGGGUGAAGUCGUAACAAGGUAGCCGUAUCGGAAGGUGCGGCUGGAUCACCUCCUUUCUAGGGAGUACCCGAUUCUGACGAUGUGGUUUUGAAGGACUGGGCGCGGCCCCGCACGGGGCCGAUGGGGCCGAUAGCGCAG
rnacentral:rRNA from 1 species